AGAAGAAGAAGAAGAAGAAAGGAGUAAUGAAAAAAAUAAGGCAAAACGGAGGUCGGUUGCUAGUAUUAUUUUCACUUAAUACUAUCAUUAUUAAUAAUGGCUUCAAUGCAAGCAUUUGGAACCUGUGUUCUUGCUAGUCAAGUUUGUUUUGCAUUCAUCUUGACUGAAUUUAAAUCGGUGAUUCACGGCUUCCUUUGAAAUAAAUCAUUUGCAAGAA
rnacentral:misc_RNA from 1 species